rnacentral:rRNA from 1 species
UACGUAGGGUGCAAGCGUUAAUCGGAAUUACUGGGCGUAAAGCGUGCGCAGGCGGCUUUGCAAGACAGAUGUGAAAUCCCCGGGCUUAACCUGGGAACUGCAUUUGUGACUGCAUGGCUGGAGUGCGGCAGAGGGGGAUGGAAUUCCGCGUGUAGCAGUGAAAUGCGUAGAUAUGCGGAGGAACACCGAUGGCGAAGGCAAUCCCCUGGGCCUGCACUGACGCUCAUGCACGAA